rnacentral:lncRNA from 1 species
GCUUCCGAGCACAGCAUGGCGGUCAAGGUGCACACAACCAAACGAGGUGAUCCUCAUGAGCUGAGAAACAUAUUCCUACAGCGAUGGAAACCCUAACUAAGAAAAUCAUCACGUAUGAGCCAAUCAGGUGCAUUCUUAAGACAUGGCAUCUGAGUGUCUUCUCAAGAUGGAAGCCGGUGGUUCAACCUCAGCGGAAAUUCUCCUGGGCAGUUCUGAGGAGAUGUAUGGUUGCAGCCUGAGGCUGGGAGAUCCGAUACUGUGGCAGGCAGCAGCUGUUUCCUCCUGAACUCCCAGUCGCUUAGUGGGAACCAGAAAAGCAACAAUGGUUCAAUUAUAAAAAGUUAGUACAUUCAGAA